CAGCGCCGCGAGUGGGAAUCGUAUAUUUGGCCUAAAGCGUUCGUAGCCGGAUAGGCAAGUCUUUGGGUAAAUCCUACGUCUUAAGCGUGGGACUUCUAAAGAUACUACCUGUCUCGAGGCCGGGAGAGGCUAGAGGUACUCCUGGGGUAGGGGUAAAAUCCUAUAAACCCAGGGGGACCACCAAUGGCGAAGGCAUCUUACUAGAACUGUUCUGACGGUGAGGGACGAAAGCCAGGGGAGCGAACCGGAUUAGAUACCCGAGUAGUCC
rnacentral:rRNA from 1 species